rnacentral:tRNA from 1 species
GCCCAAUUAGCUCAGUCAGAAGAGCAUAAGACCCUUGAUUUUAGUGUUGUGAGUUCAAGCCCCACACUGGGGU